rnacentral:rRNA from 1 species
UUCGGGGACAAGGUGACAGGUGGUGCAUGGUUGUCGUCAGCUCGUGUCGUGAGAUGUUGGGUUAAGUCCCGCAACGAGCGCAACCCUUAUUACUAGUUGCCAGCAUUCAGUUGGGCACUCUAGUGAGACUGCCGGUGACAAACCGGAGGAAGGUGGGGAUGACGUCAAAUCAUCAUGCCCCUUAUGACCUGGGCUACACACGUGCUACAAUGGCGUAUACAACGAGUUGCCAACCCGCGAGGGUGAGCUAAUCUCUUAAAGUACGUCUCAGUUCGGAUUGUAGGCUGCAACUCGCCUACAUGAAGUCGGAAUCGCUAGUAAU